GACGAACGCUGGCGGCGUGCUUAACACAUGCAAGUCGAACGGAAAGGCCCUGCUUUUGUGGGGUGCUCGAGUGGCGAACGGGUGAGUAACACGUGAGUAACCUGCCCUUGACUUUGGGAUAACUUCAGGAAACUGGGGCUAAUACCGGAUAGGAGCUCCUGUUGCAUGGUGGGGGUUGGAAAGUUUCGGCGGUUGGGGAUGGACUCGCGGCUUAUCAGCUUGUUGGUGGGGUAGUGGCUUACCAAGGCUUUGACGGGUAGCCGGCCUGAGAGGGUGACCGGCCACAUUGGGACUGAGAUACGGCCCAGACUCCUACGGGAGGCAGCAGUGGGGAAUAUUGCAAAAUGGGCGGAAGCCUGAUGCAGCAACGCCGCGUGCGGGAUGACGGCCUUCGGGUUGUAAACCGCUUUCGCCUGUGACGAAGCGUGAGUGACGGUAAUGGGUAAAGAAGCACCGGCUAACUACGUG
rnacentral:rRNA from 1 species